CGGGUGCACUGAUCCAGCCGGGCCUUUCCCUCUGUGGAACCCCAUGGCCUUCACUGGCUGUGGUGGGGAAACAGGACUUUUACUUUGAAAAAAUUAGAGUGCUCCAGGCAGGCCUAUGCUCGAAUACAUUAGCAUGGAAUAAUAGAAUAGGACGUGUGGUUCUAUUUUGUUGGUUUCUAGGACCGCCGUAAUGAUUAAUAGAGACAGUCGGGGGCAUCAGUAUUCAAUUGUCAGAGGUGAAAUUCUUGGAUCUAUUGAAGACUAACUACUGCGAAAGCAUUUGCCAAGGAUGUUUUCAUUGAUAAGGAACGAAAGUUAGGGGAUCGAAGACGAUCAGAUACCGUCGUAGUCUUAACUAUAAACUAUGCCGACUAGGGAUCGGACGAUAUUAUUCUUUGACGCGUUCGGCACCUUUCGAGAAAUCAAAGUGCUUGGGCUCCAGGGGGAGUAUGGUCGCAAGGCUGAAACUUAAAGAAAUUGACGGAAGGGCACCACCAGGGGUGGAACCUGCGGCUUAAUUUGACUCAACACGGGGAAACUCACCAGGUCCAGACACAGUGAGGAUUGACAGAUUGAGAGCUCUUUCUUGAUUCUGUGGGUGGUGGUGCAUGGCCGUUCUUAGUUGGUGGAGUGAUUUGUCUGCUUAAUUGCGAUAACGAACGAGACCUUAACCUACUAAAUAGCCCGUACUGCUUUGGCAGUUCGCCGGCUUCUUAGAGGGACUAUCGG
rnacentral:rRNA from 1 species